UACGUAGGUGGCAAGCGUUGUCCGGAUUUACUGGGCGUAAAGGGCGUGCAGGCGGUUUGUCUAGUCUAGGGUGAAAGCUCCUGGCUUAACUGGGAGAGGUCCUUGGAUACUGGCAAACUUGAGGGAGGCAGAGGAAAGUGGAAUUCCCGGUGUAGUGGUGAUAUGCGUAGAUAUCGGGAGGAACACCAGUGGCGAAGGCGGCUUUCUGGGCCUUACCUGACGCUGAGACGCGAAAGCGUGGGGAGCGAACCGG
rnacentral:rRNA from 1 species